AUGAAACCCCUCGAAAAUCACCCCUCCGCCAUCACCACUUCCUCCGCCGAGCCGGAAUCAGAACCUGAUAAUGGUUCGGCGGCGGAUGCCGGCAUGUUUUCAGACGAUAUAGAUAGUUCAUGCUCAACUCCAUAUGUUAGUGCUCCGUCAAGUCCAGGCCGUGGUCAACCACACUGUGGCUUCUAUUACAGUGCUCCGGCGAGUCCUAUGCAUUUCGUUUUAUCAACUACUAGCGUGAAAAAUGCUGUUAGUACUUCAAUUUCAUCACCUUCUGAAGAUUUUGAUUUCUCUGCUAGACUUACCACCGAGGGUGGUGGCGCCGCCGAUGGAUCCAUGAGCUCGGCUGAUGAGUUGUUCUUAAACGGCCAGAUCCGGCCGAUGAAGCUGUCCACUCACCUUAAACGUCCACAAGUCCUAGCACCAUUGCUUGAUCACGACGAGAAUGAGGAUGAAGAAGAGAAAAGUUGCAGAGGAAGAGAUUUGAAGCUGCGGAGUAGAUCAUUGAGGAGAAGGACUAGAUCCAUGUCACCACUUCGAACGACGUCGUAUGAAUGGCAGGAGGAUUAUGAUGAGGAGGAACUGGAAGUAGUUAUCAAUGAGAAGAAGAAAGAGAAGAAUGAAAAUGAAGAGAUUAAGCAAGAUGAUGAAGAAGAAACUUCAAAUGAAACGACGCCAUGCCCUUCUGGAUCUUCUUCGAGGUCUUCAUCAGUCGGGAGGAGUUCAAAAAGAUGGGUAUUCCUUAAGGAGUUUCUAUAUAGAAGUAAAAGCGAAGGAAGAAACAACGGCCACAAGUUUUGGAGUGGGAUAUCAUUUUCACCCGUGAAAGACAAAAAACUUGACAAAAUCUCAACCAACAAAACUCCAACUGAAUCUUCAAAUACAUCUGAAACAAAAAAAGAUAAACAAAAUGGGAAUACAAAAGAGAAGAAGAAGAAGCCCGUGAAUGGAAGUGGGAUUGGUAAGAGAAGAGUUCCUCCAUCGCCUCAUGAGUUGCAUUACACUACUAACCGAGCUCAAUCAGAAGAAAUGAGGAAGAAGACUUUCUUGCCAUAUAGGCAAGGCCUGCUUGGAUGUUUAGGGUUCAGUUCAAAGAGUUAUGGAGCCAUGAAUGGUUUUGCUAGAGCUUUGAAU
rnacentral:misc_RNA from 1 species